CCCUUAUUUAUGGUUUAUAUGCCUUGAAAAGUUAAAGGAAAAAGUAUGAAGAUGAUGAGCAUUUGUCUUUCUACUAAGAUAUGAAGUUUGAGAGAAAUUUUUUGGAUUUGAUCAUGGUUUUGUAUUUUCUCAUUGUCAUGUUUCAGGUUGUAUCAGAAAUUAUUACAUUUAUGUUUUAUCUUUUGCAUUGCAGGCACAAAUGUGAGAUUUGACAGGAUUUGUUGAUGCAAGACAACAACUUUUGCAUUUGAAACCAAAUCAUCGCAUGAACUGGAUUGGCUUUGCUGUAGCCCACCAUUUAAACUCAAAUGGUGCAAAAGCAGUUGAAAUUUUGGAAGCAUUUGAAGGGACAUUAGAAGAUGAUUAUCCACCAGAUAAUGAACGUUGUGAGCAUGGUGAAAUGCUUUUAUAUAAGAUCUCUUUGCUAGAGGAAUCUGGGUUUCUUGAGAGAGCACUUGAGGAAUUGUAUAAGGAAGAGCCAAAAAUAGUUGAUAAAUUGACUUAUAAAGAACAAGAGGUUUCUCUCCUGGUGAAACUUGGAUGCCUAGAAGAAGGUGCCAAUAUUUACAAGGCUUUACUUACCAUGAACCCUGACAAAUACAGGUUUUUCGUUUUUGGAUUCACUUUCGGCUUGGAAUAUAGAUUAUUGUCGAUAAUAUCGACAUCAAGCAAGUAAUGAGUCGAUUCAACUUUCCUUGAGAUUGGGCAUCAAGAUUAGGUUGGGAAAUUAGGGUUCUUGAUCUAAUAAGAGGGAAAUUAAUUCCUUUGAGGGGAAGGAAUUUUUCUCGGCCAUUGGUCAAUCCAAACAAAGUAGAGAAUUAGUUGGUGGAGGACAAAUUGGAAUGUGUGAGGAAUUUGGAGACCUUUUGAAGAGGAUACCACUUGAUUUACUGCAAGGAAACAAAUUUCGUAAAGCGGCAAUUGAUUGCAUUAAGCCUUUUCUAACCUUUA